rnacentral:lncRNA from 1 species
ACAUAUCAUGUGUAUUCUUUUGUGACUGGGUUAUCUCAUUCAAGAUUAUAUUUUCUAACACCUAAAGAAAUGUUCAACAUCUUUAGUCAUAAGGGAGAUGCAAAUCAAAACAACCCUGAGAUUUCACCUCACACCAAUGAGAAUGGCAAAGAUCAAAAACUCAGGUGACAGUAAAUGCUGGCGAGGAUGUGGAGAAAGAGGAACACUCCUCCAUUGUUGGUGGGAUUGCAGACUGGUACAACCAUUCGGGAAAUCAGUCUGGAGGUUCCUCAGAAAAUUGGACAUUGAACUGCCUGAGGACCCAGCUAUACCUCUCUUGGGCAUAUACCCAAAAGAUGCCCUAACAUAUAAAAAAGACACGUGCUCCACUAUGUUCAUCGCAGCCUUAUUUAUAAUAGCCAGAAGCUGGAAAGAACCCAGAUGCCCUUCAACAGAGGAAUGGAUACAGAAAA